rnacentral:rRNA from 1 species
GACGAACGCUGGCGGCAUGCCUAACACAUGCAAGUCGAACGGAGAUUAUUUCGAUAAUCUUAGUGGCGAACGGGUGAGUAACGCGUGGGCAACCUGCCCUCUAGAUGGGGACAACAUCCCGAAAGGGGUGCUAAUACCGAAUGUGACAGCAAUCUCGCAUGAGGAUGCUGUGAAAGAUGGCCUCUAUUUAUAAGCUAUCGCUAGAGGAUGGGCCUGCGUCUGAUUAGCUAGUUGGUGGGGUAACGGCCUACCAAGGCGAUGAUCAGUAGCCGGUCUGAGAGGAUGAACGGCCACAUUGGGACUGAGACACGGCCCAGACUCCUACGGGAGGCAGCAGUGGGGAAUCUUCCGCAAUGGGCGAAAGCCUGACGGAGCAAUGCCGCGUGAGUGAUGAAGGAAUUCGUUCCGUAAAGCUCUUUUGUUUAUGACGAAUGUGCAGGUUGUGAAUAAUGACUUGUAAUGACGGUAGUAAACGAAUAAGCCACGGC